rnacentral:rRNA from 1 species
UACGGGGGGGGCAAGCGUUGUUCGGAAUUACUGGGCGUAAAGCGUGCGCAGGCGGUUCGCUGUGUCCUGUGUGAAAGCCCCGGGCUUAACCUGGGAAUGGCAUGGGAAACUGGCGAGCUUGAGUGCGGCAGAGGGGGGUGGGAAUUCCGCGUGUAGCAGUGAAAUGCGUAGAGAUGCGGAGGAACACCGAUGGCGAAGGCAGCCCCCUGGGUCGACACUGACGCUCAGGCACGAAAGCGUGGGGAGCAAACAGG